CCCUUAGAUGUCCUGGGCCGCACGCGCGCUACACUGACGGAGCCAGCGAGCUUACCCCUUUGCCGAAAGGCAUGGGAAAUCUUUUGAAUCUCCGUCGUGCUGGGGAUAGAUCAUUGCAAUUAUUGAUCUUGAACGAGGAAUUCCUAGUAAGCGCAAGUCAUCAACUUGCGUUGAAUACGUCCCUGCCCUUUGUACACACCGCCCGUCGCUCCUACCGAUUGAGUGGUCCGGUGAGGCUUUGGGAUCUGAGCGGAAAGAGCGUUUCGCUGUUUCUGCUCGGAAAACUCAGUCGAACCUUAUCAUUUAGAGGAAGGAGAAGUCGUAACA
rnacentral:rRNA from 1 species